UCAGCCAUGCUACGGUGAAUACGUUCCCGGGUCUUGUACUCACCGCCCGUCACACCAUGGGAGUUGAUUUCACUCGAAGCCGGAAUACUAAACUAGUUACCGUCCACAGUGGAAUCAGCGACUGGGGUGAAGUCGUAACAAGGUAACCGUAGGAGAACCUGCGGUUGGAUCACCUCCUUUCUAG
rnacentral:rRNA from 1 species